UGUAAUUUUGAUAUCAUGGAUGGCCAGCUCUGUCUGAAUUUGAGAGUGGUUAUAUUUCUCCAGGCCCAUCCCUUAGUUUUUUACCAAAAGAGAGGUGGGGUGUCCGCUUUGUUAUUGUUUCAAUUAAGGAUUCUAGCUUUAAAAGGUCUCGGUAUAAUGUUUUCUCCAAUACAUUCUGAGAACAUUAAAAGGGAUUCAAUUUAUACUGUACCUUCCAGCUUUUUUGCUUUGAUAACAGGUUUUGCUCUUUAAAGUUGUUCUCACCUGACUGUCUCCAUGUUGAUUAUGUUGUUAAGGCUGAUGCAGACGGGUUUUACGUGGCCGAUGAUUAUGGAUAUUUCCACUGGAAUGAAGAACAUGGCCAUUGGGAGAGGUGGACCCUAAACAACAACGAGUACAACUAUGAGUAUGCAGUACAAGUAUGACCAGGAUCAACCUGGUCAAGGGGCCAAAUGGAAAUAGAGGCUGGUUCUUCUCAGAUUGUCGAUGCUCCUGCCCAUCUCCCCCUCCCUACUUCCUCUGAUCUCCCUCAGCAGAGCCCACAGGAGCAGCCUGGAUUCCUCGCCGCAUCCCCUUGGCCUCUUGCAAACCCAUCUCUCCACCAGUGAAGCCCAUCGUG